AUUGAACGCUGGCGGCAGGCCUAACACAUGCAAGUCGAACGAGUGGCGGACGGGUGAGUAAUGUCUGGGAAACUGCCUGAUGGAGGGGGAUCACCACUGGAAACGGUAUCUAAUACCGCAUACUAUCAGAUGUGCCCAUCUGGGGUUAGCUUGUGGGUGGGGUAACGGCUCACCAAGGCGACGAUCCCUGGCUGGUCUGAGAGGAUGACCAGCCACACUGGAACUGGGACACGGUCCAGACUCCUACGGGGGGCAGCAGGGGGGAAUAUUGCACAAUGGGCGAAAGCCGGAUGCAGCCAUGCCGCGUGGAUGAAGAAGGCCUUCGGGUUGUAAAGUACUUUCAGCGGGGAGGCGUUACCCGCAGAAGAAGCACCGGCUAACUCCGUGCCAGCAGCCGCGGUAAUAC
rnacentral:rRNA from 1 species